rnacentral:lncRNA from 1 species
GUGCGGACCCGGCAGGGCCCGGGCGCCGCCGCCGCGGCAGGGAGCACACACGCGCUCGCGCAAGCAGCUAAAUCCAUCAAAGCCCCGCGCCCGGCUCCGCGCCGGGGCUCCGCGCCCCUCCCUCGAGCUUGCCCACCCUCCAGUGCCAGCUGCAAUCCUGCGGCACCGGGUGGGGAGGGAGGAGGCCGCCGCAGAAGCGCCGCCGUCGCCGGCUCGCCUCUCUCGGGCCCCAGCGGCGGCAGCGGGCAGCGCCCAGAGCUGCUGCGCCAAAAAGGGCCAGAGAGCCGGUCCCCGCCCCCGCCCCGGCGCUCCGGCCGCUCUCCACGGUUCGGAUCCAGGGCCCCAGCCUUCCUCUCUCCAUAAAAGGAGGGGGAGUCAGUCUUUGGGGAAGGAGGGGGGCGGGUUUGGGGCACUCACCUGGCGGCUGCCACGCGCCCCCGCCCAGGAUCCGAGGCCUGGGGCAUCUGAAUGAGGACCCUCCACCCACAUUUCCACUUGGGAGCGAGCUCCAGUCGGGGAAAGGGCCUGCAGCCCGCCUCGUCCCCACCCUGGGACCCCGCGCCCCCCAGUCCCCCACUCCCGCGCCGAAGGCAGGGCCGCGCCCUGAGCCGGGAAGUCGAGGGGAUGGAAGGGAAAGGAGCCACCGGUGAGGGUCCCCCGGGUUCUGAGCCUCCCGCGUCGGGAUCCGUGGGGCGCACAGAGCGCCACCUCCGGCCGAGGCGCAGCUCAGAGCGCGAUGCGGGGGAGGAACGCGCGCGGAGGCCGAGGUCUGAGCGUGGCUAGACGGCUCCCACGCCGAGAAAGGGCGGGUGCGCCUGGGCUGGAUGGAUUUCGCCUCCCUAGACCAGGAGGGAUUGGACCCUGACUACAGGUCCAGGUGCUCGUCAGUGCCCUGCCAGGGGGUCUACGCGUCCUGGUACCGGGUCCAGCGGGGUGGCGUGCUGUGCAGACCCCGAGGCUAGACGGCCUAGGCCCCUGGAGCCCAGGAGACGCUUCCUUGGGUGAGCAGCGGAGAAUCCCGCCCGGCCCAGCCGUCACCCCCAACCCUGUCGAUUAAACCCCUGCCCCCGUCGCGGUCGCCCUCCCUCCAGACAAAGGCCGUUAAGGCGCAGCCCCGCGGGCGGUCUUUCAUCCCCAGCUAGGCCAGCUCUAGCAUUUCAAAGGCCGAAUCCGGAGAGCGCUUCGGGGGCUCUCCCCUUCCCCCAAAUAUUUGGGGAGCGACGCCUCUCCCUCCGCUCCCAGUGGGUCGCGUCUACACGCGCCCUUCCACACACCUGCAGGCCCCCUCCCCACGUCUCUCCCUUCCGUUGGCCGCAGCCCCACACCACGACCCCCGCGGUCAAGCAUGCCCUCUGGGUGGUCAGGACCAAGCGGGACCGGGACAGAACCAGGGGAGCCUUGGAAACGUGGAGGAGCCCCUUAAAGCCAGGCCUUGUCCCUCCAGGGGGAACUUGCGGCUUGGGAGGGGACACCCACUGCAUGGCUUCUGGAAAGAGCCGGACUCGCAGGGCCAGGACGCAGGCCGGACCCCGGCCUCAUUCUUCGGCCAGUUAUCCCGGAGUGGCGCGCAUCCUGUCUUCCUGGGCCUCGGACUGCUCGCGCGCAGAGGGGGCCCGAGGACACCUCUGUGGGGUUAGAGGACUCGGUAAGACGGUGUGGAAGGCAAGGAGGAAGGUCGCGUUGUAUUGGGGAUGGGGUACCCGUCCCUCCCAGCUUGAGGGAUCCUGGGGGUCCUCGCCGCCUCUGAGGGCCUAGAUGGCUGCUUCCCUCGGCUCCCCUGCCCGGCCUGGAGCUACGGGUGCGCCCAGCUAGAGUUUAGGGCCACCUGGGGACGUGCAAGGGGCGCUGGAGCGAGGCGGGGGCUGGGGCGGGGCGUGGGUGCUUCACCCGCGGGGGACGCAGAGCUUAGGCGAAAGCGGUGCAGGCAUCUCUCUAAUCGCCGGCCGCUAUUAAAAAUAAAACCGCGACCCGUCGCCAUGGCGACCACAACAACAGCGGCCGCGCGAGGGAGGCGAAAACUUGUGCAGCCGCGCGACAGCCGCCUUCUGGGGAGACUCGGGGCACGACGCACCCGGCGUGGGACUGGGACCCCCCUGCCCGGCCCCGCCACAUUCUCCGCCGGAUCCCCGGAAGACACAAGGAGACGUGGACCCCCACAGGCUUUUUUGGGGGGAUUGGGCGUUGAAACCGCAGGGCUGACUUAACCAAGAGGUCACCGACUUGGAUAAAAAACCCACGCCCGCGCGGACCCCCCUCCCCGGCCUUCGUUUCCAUUCAAACUCCCAGCGUCCUCAUUGCAGCCCCUGGGGAGGGGGACGGAGGGACGAGGUGGGUUUCAGGUGCUCGGCCCAGGAGGGGACGGUGCGACCCGGGCCCCGCCGGCGGGUUUUGCGCGCGGAGGCUGCGGCACCUGCCCCGCCCGCCCUGCCGCGAUCCUUGCAGACGGGGGCGGUCACAUGCUUCUUUCUGGCCAGGAAUCGAGUUUCACUUCCAGCCGCUAUUAGUCGGUUCACACAGUUCACUGCAAACAUUUGAUAAUGAGGCUAAAUAUACUCCCGCGUCGGAGGAGGCGUGGGCGUCCCCGCCCAGGCCCGGGAGACAGAGGCGCUGACCCCGGGACAGAGCCUGGCUUUGUGCGGGAGGCAGACGCGCCCCGCGCGCCGCCCCCGAAACAUUCGCACCCCAUGCUGAGGCGCGCGUCUGGGAGUCCGUGGGCGCCCCGAGGUGAGCCCGGGGCCCCUGGCGGAAGCAGCGGGGAGCUCCCGGCGGGUGCGGGGAGGUGCUGGUGGGAAGCAAGGUGCACCUGGCGGCCUGGGAUGUCCGGUCGCCCCCGGAGCCGGUGCAUCCGGCCUCUCCCGGCGCGCCCCGACGUGCCCGCGGGCUCAUAAUUACCGUGAGUCAGGUGCCCCAAAUAGGCCGAGCGAGGGGGGCCGUCGCGCAGCAGGGGCGGGUGGCCGGACGUCUGCCCGGGACUGGUUGCCUCCCGCCCCUCCCCAAGACCCUGGCACCCAGGGAGGGCGGGAAAGGCCUUGGCCAUUCCUCUGGGUAGGGGACUGGAGAGGGGAAGAAACUUUCGCCGAGUCCAGCGCUGCCCCCUCAUACCCAUCCCCACCCAGGCUGCGUGUCCGGGGCCCCUCCGGGGCUUGGCACCAGCAGGCACGCAGCGAUCGCCGUCGUUGUUAUUUAGUAGUAGUAGUAACGGCUGACAUUUACAGCGACGUCGAUGGCGCCAGGUGCCAAGCUCUUUCCUUGUAUAAUUUCAUGGACACUCACGCAUCAACUCUAAGCGAAGACUUGGAGCGGGGCUCAGCACCCCAGGGGUACCUCUGCAACCUCGAAAUGAAGUUGAAAAUAGCACAGGAGCCCACUAUCACUGUGUGAACAUUUUGUGAAUGAAGACAUGUAUGAAAGGAUGUUUGGAGGCUUCAAGAAACGAAAGCCGAGAGUCUAGCUAGACCAGAGCCAUCCAGCCCAGGAGCGAUGGCCACGUGUGGCCGCUGGACACGAGAGACGUGGCCAGUCCAAACUGUGCAGUGCGGUUGAAAAAAACAUUUUGGAUAUAUGGUGUUAAAUAAACAUGAUUACAAUGACUUUCGCUGUCAGCCUCCCGGAGGCUCAUUUUGCUCCUCUGGGCCACAGCCAGCUCAGAGGGUUGCUCUAGGAAAUAUCUACACGUUCUUGAAGCACAGGUUUAUGUGCCAGGCACUGUACUAAGUGCUGGGGACACGGCGUUAAGACCAGGCCCUCACGGAGCCCUCACUCUCUGAGGAGGAACAAUAAGUCAGAGAGCGCGCGAGUGCAGCCCUUCAGGCAAAGGAUUUCAGGCCCAGGUCAGGAAGGCCUUGUCUGAGGAGUCUGAGAAGAAGUCAAUUGACAACAGCUAGAACAUCUAGGUCAGGCACUCCAGGCCGACACGACAAAGCAGGUGCAAAGGCCCCAGGGCGGGAACCAGCGUGGCUUGUUCACAGAACAAGGAGGUAGAUCGCUUGCCCUUGGGACCAAAGGAAGGCUCUGGAUUUUAUUCUAGGGGCAGUGGAAGCCGUUGGAGGGCCUCAGGCAGGAACACAAGGUGUCGUGGCAGAAAGGAAGAAGGGGCCGGGCACGGUGGCCCACACCCGUCAUCCCAGCACUUUGGGAGGGAGGCCAAGGCAGGAGGAUCGCUUCAAUCCAGGAGUUCAAGAUCAGCCUGGGCAACACAGCAAGACCCCGUCUCUACUAAAACCCUAAAACUUAGCCAGGCUUGGUGGCAUGUGCCUAAGGUCCCAGGUCCUCGGGAGACUAAGGCAGGAGGAUUGCUUAAGCCCAAGAGUUUGAGGCUGCAGUGAACUAUUAUCACACCACUGCACUCAGCCUGGGUGACAGAGUGACUCUGUCUCAAAACUAAAUAAAUAAACAAUAAUUGUGUUAUUCUGUCUCCAUUUCUCGCAUACUGAAUUUAAGGUGGACUCAGCCAGCGGGUUCAGGCCCAGGGUCUGUCCUGCAGCUACAGUCAGGGUUGGUGGCUGCAGCUGUCAUGGGGGAGCGGUGAGGUUGGGGGAACAGGGGGGCUGGCCUGCAUCCCCCACUUUCAGGUGGGCUCAACUCCGUCUCGUGGCCUAUUGGGGGCCAGCAUGGGCUUCCUUACAGCAUGGAGGCCUCCAGGGUCAAGCUGCCUCUGGGAUGGCAGAGGGCUUUGUGUUCGUGCUCCCACGCCCACAGUGGAGGCAAUACACCCUUUCCAGAUCUAGCAGUACAGGUGCGCAGCACCACACCUCUGUACGCUCUCAGCCUAAGCUGUCCCCAGCCCUCCUGGCCUCUGGAGGAGGGGACGCAGAAACUCCAUCCCGGACAGAGGGAGAGCCAGUGUGUGCACAGGCAGCUUCUAACACUGCUUCGUGGUUUCACACGGCUCCCUCAUGGAGAAGGGGCUGGAGGAGGACAGGGAGGUGUGCAGUCAUCUGGGUGACAUAUGAGGGUGGCUGGGCUUCCAGAUGGCUGCAGUGGAGACCGUAAGAAGAGUGCACGAGGUAAGGCUUCCGAAACGCCCAGCAGGUUCCUGGCAGCUGCAGACAACUCAAUUCUUAGCACUUGCCAAUAGCUGGGGUGUAAACACUCCCGCCGUCGCUAUUUCGGGCUAUGCUCCUUGCCUCCACUGGGUCUGGCUCUUAAAACAGCAAGAAAGCAACUCGGAAGCUGAGUCAGCCCCGUCUCUCCACCGUGCCCACAGAUCCUUCCCUGUUCCAGAGCUCCCGUUGGCAGCCAGCUGGGCUUCUCAGGGGGCAUCUCCAGUCCUGUGCAGUCAGAGAAAACCAGGGAAGCAUCUUGAUCUCACCUAGAAAUUAAGGCCAUCACAUCCAACACCUGCAUUUUACAGGUGAGGAGGCUGACAUUACAAGUAGUGGUGGUGGUGACAUUUGAACCCAGACCCCUGUCCUCCGGGGCCUGUUUCCCUGGGAGCUGCGGACUCUGCGUGGAGACACAGAAAUAGAGACCCAGAUGGCUCCCGUAGAAACAGAGUCACCCCCCAGGGCAGCUGGAAGGGAGUGGGAGAGGACAGGUCCUCAAGGGCCUCUGCUCUCCACUUCCCUCCCCGCCUCGCCGUGUCCUCUCCCUUCCUCUCUCCAACCCCUGCAGGGGGAGGCCUGGCUGGGAAGAGACGUUUUCUGAGUAGAUGUUUUGGCUGGGCAGACUGAGCUUUGAGAAGCAGCCAGGCCGAGCGGGGCUAGGGAGUGAGGGCAUUGGGGAGCCUGAACUUUAGUGACCACUGCCCCUCCCAGGCCAAAGCCGCAAACCCCUCCCAUCCCCAAGGGCUUCAGACUCAAGGCCCAAGUUCCUGCA